ensembl:lncRNA
GCCAGAGUGAUGUAUGAGAGAGAGAGGAAGAUCUUUUCAAUCAAUCUGUCAUCUGCAGUUCCUGUAUCAUCUGUGGGAAACGGCACUGAUGUCAUGGUCGAUAGAGGCAGGCUUUUGUCGCUGGAUCAGGAUGCAGUUUGUGACAGGGGCGACUGCCAGGUGCUGCUUACAUCGACUUUAUUCCUCGGCUUUCGAAAAGUUUGGAUCGUUUUGGAACAAAAGCAGAGUCUUCCGAUCUUCUCCUGCCUUGUCCUGUCUGCCAAAGCAGCUUUUCUCAAGGAUGUCAUAAGGUCUGCUUGCUCCCUGGUAUAACGAUGAAGUUAUUAGCAUGCUGCAGCACAUCAGCUUAUGGGACAUGAAUAUUGACCAGAAAUCACCAACUGUCUCCGAGCCUACGGAUGGAUUGAAACCCUGGCAUCAUCUCCCUGGUCAAAACUAUGAGACUAUAAAAGCUGCAAUAUAGACGGAUGCACAUCAGCGCUGUUUCUACCUACAAUAGAAGUCUAGUCAGACUGUCUCUUACCACCUGAGAAGUACAGCUCGGUCUUUGUCCGUCUUUGUUUCUUUUUUCUUUUGAAGAAUGUGGUUAGACAUGCUUAUGAACAGAUGGCCCUGCAACAUCUUCCCCUCAUACAAAGACUUAUUUUACAGUUGUUUUUUUGUUUUUUUUUGUUUUCUUUUUUUAUUGAAAAUACACAACACUUUGUCAUGUUCCCAGGUUUUUCUGGAUUGUUUGUUGUUGUUUCUCCUUUAAUCCUCACCGCCAGGGCAGAGUCUGGCCCUGGUCCCCACCUCAGUGUUCACCUGUGCAGCCUCUUCACCUGUCACCUAUGAUGAAUAAUUACUCACCUGCUGUCCAUUAUCAGUGACUGCUCCCACACUUGGCCUGAGUGAGUGAGCGUGAGUUUGGACUGGAUUAGUGUGUAGACUGUCGUGAGUCACAGACUGUGUGAAGAGGAGUUUGGACCUUCCCCUGGUUGCCCUGGUCCUCCCCCCAGCACUGUAUAUAUGUAUAUAUCUCACCUGGUGACACCUGUUUAAAUAAACCACCUUUUGACUUUUCAUUCAGAGUCCUGCAUUUGAGUCCUGCACUUGUAAUAGUGAUAACUUUCAUCAAAUCUGAAUAUUUUACCAGUAAAGAUGAUGACAGACAUAUAACUGCCAGAAGAAAAAAGCUUUUAACAGGUUAACAAAGGCUUAAAGGGUUAAUGCAAUGUUUCAAGGCCAAUAUUUUAAGUGAUUAUUGCAUUUAGAUUUCUCUUCAAAUAACUUUUGAACUAAGUGCCCAGAAAUAGCAGGACCUGGAG